rnacentral:lncRNA from 1 species
AAUAUAUAGUCCAAAGUGGGGAGUGCUUAACCUUUAGGCUGCGUUUGGUUCGGGUGUAAAUAAGAACUGCUAGUUUCAAAAAUAGGUACAAGUUCAGGUAUAAGCAGGAACUAGACUAAUUUUGCGAUUGGAUGAAAAUUGAGUUGUUUCUAGGAAUAAGAUAAAUAGUAUUUGGAUGAUUAGAUUGGAACAAGAGGAAUAAAAUAUUUAUUAAUAAAUAAUAAUAACUAUUAAUAAUUAUUUAUAAAUAAUAAAUUAAUAAUAAUAUCGAUUAUCUAAUUAUUAAGAAUAAUAAUUAUUAAUUAAUAAUGAUUAAUAAAUAAUAAUAAUAAUUAAUUAAUUAUUAAUAAUUAAUUAAUAAUAAUUAAUUAAUUCUAAUAUCGAUUAUCAUUAAGAAUAAUAAUUAUUAAUAAUUAUUAAUAAAUAAUCAUGAAUAUUAUUAAUUAUUAAUAAUUAAUUAUAAUUAAUAAAUUAAUUAAUUAUUUAAUUAUUAAAGUAAUAAAUAAUGAUUUAAAUAUAUUAAUUAGAUCAAUUAAUAAUUUACUGUCAUUAAAAUUAAAUUUAGAUUUUAAUUAACCUUGUUCUCAUUAAGGAACAGGCUUGUUCCAGAAAACAGAUGGAACAGCAGUUUCAGCCUUAUAUCAGCUUGUUCCAGAUUUUCGCAAACUACUGUUUCCGGAAACCAAACAUAUCGUUUGAAAACAAAGGGGGAACA